UUUUAGAUAAUGGAGGGAACUCUGAUCUAGCGACGCCGCGUGCAGGAAGAAGGUCUUCGGAUUGUAAACUGCUGUGGUAAGGGAAAAAUGCUAUGUAGAGUGGAAAGCUACAUAGAGGGAUGGUACCUUACUAGAAAGCCCCGGCUAACUACGUGCCAGCAGCCGCGGUAAUACGUAGGGGGCGAGCGUUACCCGGAAUCACUGGGCGUAAAGGGAGCGUAGGUGGCCUAACAUGUCAACUGUGAAAACCCGGAGCUCAACUCCGGACUUGCAGUUGAAACUGGUAGGCUUGAGGACGGUAGAGGAAGACGGAACUGCCAGUGUAGGGGUAAAAUCCUUAGAUAUUGGCAGGAACGCCGGUGACGAAGGUGGUUUUCUGGGCCGGUUCUGACACUGAUGCUCGAAAGCCAGGGGAGCGAACGGG
rnacentral:rRNA from 1 species